GCCGGCAGCUAGCUCUCUGCAACUCUCACAUGGUCGCCCACUGAAGCUAAGCAGGGCUGCGCCCGGUCAGUACCUGGAUGUGAGACCACAUGGGAAAGCUAGGUUGCUGCCGGAA
rnacentral:rRNA from 1 species